UACGUAGGGGCCGAGCGUUGUCCGGAGUACUGGGCGUAAAGCGCGCGCAGGCGGCUCGUCAAGCCUGACGUGAAAGCCCCCGGCUCAACUGGGGAGGGUCACGCGAUACUGAUCGACUCGAAGGCAGGAGAGGGAAGUGGAAUUCCCGGUGUAGUGGUGAAAUGCGUAGAUAUCAGGAAGAACACCUAUGGCGAAGGCAGCUCACUGGCCCGGUACUGACGCUGAGGUGCGAAAGCGUGGGGAGCAAACAGGAUUAGACAC
rnacentral:rRNA from 1 species